rnacentral:misc_RNA from 1 species
GAACCGUUCAACAGGGGAAAGGGCAACCAAAGCAAAAAUCCCCUGUCCACUUUCGCCCUUCCUCCUAGAAUUGCUGACUGGCCUCCUCGAAUUGAAUUUCUUUCUUCUUCUUCUUUCGGAUUGGGCGAGGAUCCCUGCCCUGGCAGGUAAUACGGGAAGCAGCCUUGUAUACAUUUAUUUAUUGACAUAUACAAAUGAAUAUAUGAGCGUAGCGAGAGCGACUAGAGUUCACGUCAGGCAAUGUAAUUGUUGAUGUAGUUGCUUGUAGUUUUUUUUUUCGUUCUAUCUAUUCGAGAUUGGGUUAGUGUUCCACUACGCCCCUCGGUAAAGACUUCCUAGUUAGCGCUCCGUCGGUCCUUCAAACCCGGCAUUCUCCGACCCUAACGCCGAUGAUACUUCUUUCUGGGCAGCCAUACAUAAUAAAUACCAUUAAAAAUGGUGAACCCGGAUCUAUUUCAAGACUCCGCUUAGCUGCUUCUAACGAAGAUAGUUCUCCGCUCCAUUAGAGUAGCAUUCCUUAUCCUCUCACUUUUAGGUAGUAAAGGAGGAAGACCGGCUCACUUCGCUGGCUAGAACCGGAUGGGAACCAUGCCCGACUCAGCACUUGAGCCUGCCUGUCCUUUCUUAGAUCGAACUUCCCCUGACUGCUUUCCUGGCAUAGGAGGUGAUGAAUCUAAUUCCUAGCAGCGGCUAUAUCCUUAUUUUUUACUUCAGCUGAUAGAAAAGAUCCUUAAAAGUAUCCCUAUCCCCGGAUCUUAUAUGCCCGUUAUUGACUCGCUUAAAACCAUAUCCUUUGCCUUUGCAAGUCGAGCUAUUCCUACCUUCGCUAUCAGUCUCCUUGCUGUUUCAGCUUAAUCGCUCGUUUGAUUAGCUCAUUAUCUUAUGAUGCAUCUUCUAUCUUAAAAGCUAG